rnacentral:rRNA from 1 species
GAUGAACGCUAGCUACAGGCUUAACACAUGCAAGUCGAGGGGCAGCAUGAACUUAGCUUGCUAAGUUUGAUGGCGACCGGCGCACGGGUGAGUAACACGUAUCCAACCUGCCGAUGACUCGGGGAUAGCCUUUCGAAAGAAAGAUUAAUACCCGAUGUUAUAGUCCUACCGCAUGAUGGGAUUAUUAAAGAAUUUCGGUAUGGGAUGGGGAUGCGUUCCAUUAGUUAGUUGGCGGGGUAACGGCCCACCAAGACAACGAUGGAUAGGGGUUCUGAGAGGAAGGUCCCCCACAUUGGAACUGAGACACGGUCCAA